UAAGCAUGAUGAUUUCCACUUCUGGUCCGUGUUUCUGAAAUUUAGUGAUUAUAGUGGAAGUUCUGACUUU